rnacentral:lncRNA from 1 species
GCCAGCCCCUCUGCUGUCCCAUCCUGUGGGCUGGACUUCUCACUGCCUCUCUCUGUAGGCCAACGAGGGCAUCCCCAUCUCGGUAGAGGACAGUGUCUUCGUGGGAGGUAAGAGGCGCAGGCUUCUAGGGGUUCAGGAACCCUCUCAGAGCUCAGUGUUGGACAGGGUUGCCCUUCCCUUACAGAUGCAGCAGGGCGCCUAGCCAACUGGGCACCGGGUACUAGGGGAGCACUGCGUGUACUAGGGGAGCACUGUGUGUACUAGGCGUCAGUGACAGCUGUUUUGCCUCCACAGGUACAUCCAAUGUGCCAAAGAUGCAGGUGUGCCCUGCC